CAAUAAUUAGCCCAAGACACCUAGCCACGCCACACCCACAAGGGAACCAGCAGUAAUUAACAUUGAACAUAAGCGCCAGCUUGAUUCAGUUAAAGUAAAAAGGGCAGGCAAAUAUGGUGCCAGCCGCCGCGGUUACACCAUGUGGCCCAAAUUGACUCCCUCCGGCGUAAAGAGUGAUUAAAGCAAUACCACACUGUAGUUGAACUAGAAUAAAGUUGUGAUAAGCUUAUAUCUAGGAAGCUCAAAAACGAAAGUUACUACAUCCCCUUAAACAACUUGAACUCACAACAGCUAAGAAACAAACUAGGAUUAGAUACCCUACUAUGCCUAGCCGUAAACUUUUAAUUACACCCCAAACGCCAGGGAACUACGAGCUAAAGCUUAAAACCCAAAGGACUUGACGGUGCCCCAUAUCCCCCUAGAGGAGCCUGUCCUAUAAUCGAUAACCCCCGCUUAACCUCACCACUUUUAGUUAAAUCAGUCUGUAUACCUCCGUCGUCAGCCUACCACAUGAGUGCAUAAUAGUAGGUCCAAUGUCUUUACCUCCGUCAAUACGUCAGGUCAAGGUGCAGCUAAUAAAGUGGGAAGAGAUGGGCUACACUCUCUAACUUAGAAGACACGAAAGCUAAUAUGAAAUCUAGCUUAAAGGUGGAUUUAGCAGUAAAAAAAGAACAGAGCGCUUUUUUUA
rnacentral:rRNA from 1 species